UGAGCAACAUGCCCUAUACAGGGGAAUAAACCAGGGAAACUUGGUCUAAUGCCCCAUAGCAAUAAGAUAAGGCAUCUUAUUUUAUUUAAAGCUUCGGUGGUAUAGGAUUGGCUCGCGUGACAUUAGCUGGAUGGUGGGGUAACGGCCCACCAUGGCGAUGAUGUCUAGGGGUUCUGAGAGGAAGACCCCCCACACUGGGACUGAGACACGGCCCAGACUCCUACGGGAGGCAGCAGUGAGGAAUAUUGGACAAUGGAUGGAAAUCUGAUCCAGCCAUGCCGCGUGCAGGAAGACGGCCCUAUGGGUUGUAAACUGCUUUUCUACGGGAGCAAUAAGGUCUACGCGUAGACUGAUGAGAGUACCGUAGGAAUAAGCAUCGGCUAACUCCGUGCCAGCAGCCGCGGUAAUACGGAGGAUGCGAGCGUUAUCCGGAUUUAUUGGGUUUAAAGGGUGCGUAGGCGGCUUUUUAAGUCAGCGGUGAAAUUUUGCAGCUUAACUGUAACAGUGCCGUUGAUACUGGGGAGCUAGGAUUUGGUUGCUGUGGGUGGAAUGUGUGGUGUAGCGGUGAAAUGCUUAGAGAUCACACAGAAUAUCGAUUGCGAAGGCAGCUCACAAAGCCAAGAUUGACGCUGAGGCACGAAAGUGUGGGGAUCAAACAGGAUUAGAUACCCUGGUAGUCCACACUGUAAACGAUGAUAACUCGCUGUCGGCGAUACACAGUCGGUGGCCAAGCGAAAGCGAUAAGUUAUCCACCUGGGGA
rnacentral:rRNA from 1 species